UACGAAGGGGGCUAGCGUUGCUCGGAAUCACUGGGCGUAAAGGGUGCGUAGGCGGGUCUUUAAGUCAGGGGUGAAAUCCUGGAGCUCAACUCCAGAACUGCCUUUGAUACUGAAGAUCUUGAGUUCGGGAGAGGUGAGUGGAACUGCGAGUGUAGAGGUGAAAUUCGUAGAUAUUCGCAAGAACACCAGUGGCGAAGGCGGCUCACUGGCCCGAUACUGACGCUGAGGCACGAAAGCGUGGGGAUCAAACAGGAUUAG
rnacentral:rRNA from 1 species